UGGUGAUGUGAGUCGGACAGUCUGACC
rnacentral:piRNA from 1 species